rnacentral:rRNA from 1 species
GACGAACGCUGGCGGCGUGCUUAACACAUGCAAGUCGAACGGAAAGGCCCUGCUUUUGUGGGGUGCUCGAGUGGCGAACGGGUGAGUAACACGUGAGUAACCUGCCCUUGACUUUGGGAUAACUUCAGGAAACUGGGGCUAAUACCGGAUAGGAGCUCCUGCUGCAUGGUGGGGGUUGGAAAGUUUCGGCGGUUGGGGAUGGACUCGCGGCUUAUCAGCUUGUUGGUGGGGUAGUGGCUUACCAAGGCUUUGACGGGUAGCCGGCCUGAGAGGGUGACCGGCCACAUGGGGACUGAGAUAGGGCCCAGACUCCUACGGGAGGCAGCAGGGGGGAAUAUUGCACAAUGGGCGGAAGCCUGAUGCAGCAACGCCGCGUGCGGGAUGACGUCCUUCGGGUUGUAAACCGCUUUCUCCUGUGACGAAGCGUGAGUGACGGUAAUGGGUAAAGAAGCACCGGCUAACUACGUG